GCCGAUGUAGCUCAAAGGUAGAGCAAUUGAUUUGUAAUCAAUAGGUUGGGGGUUCAAUUCCCUUCAUCGGCUCCA
rnacentral:tRNA from 5 species